CCGCUGUGAUGACCUUCUUAGGACACCUUUGGAUUCACCAUGAAACAAAACUCGUGUCUGAGCGGC
ensembl:snoRNA SNORD58 Small nucleolar RNA SNORD58